CGAUAGCGCGGUGGUCCCACCUGACCCCAUGCCGAACUCAGAAGUGAAACGCCGUAGCGCCGAUGGUAGUGUGGGGUCUCCCCAUGUGAGAGUAGGGCAUUGCCAGGC
rnacentral:rRNA from 1 species